GGACAUGAUGGCAGUCACGAAGGAAAGCACCAAGACAGCGGUGCGGCUUUUGGUUUUCAUGCUCGUCGUUGGCCAGAAAGAGGGCUGAGCGAGGUAUCCGGCGGUUGCAGAUCGCGAGGAGGAAGAAGCGUGUCUUCGGGGUCGACUAGACCGAAGGGGAGGAAGCGAGGAGCUUCGCGGCUGCUGGCUCGGUUCCAGCAUCGAGGUGCGAAGGGCAAUCAGCGACCACUGGGUUUUUCGGCAGUGGAGCUCGACGAAGAAGAAGAAUGGUGCGAUGGGCGAAAAGGGAAAAAGAUUCUAGGAUUUUCAGAUCGAGGGUUUGGUUUGACUGUUCUUGGCUGCUCUUCUUCUGGUUCGAUUGGAAGUAAACGCGAUGGAAAUGGGAGACAGUUGGAUUGAAGGGAAACGGAAGAACGAAAAAUGGGCUGUGAUCGUGGCUAACAGCUCCGGAACAAAAAAAAAAAAAAAAAAAAACGAAUGCGAAGAUUUGUCUAGCAGGGUAGGUAUGAAACAAAGGGGGUUGUUGAUUUUUUUUCGUGGUGGUAUCGUGGGAGGCAGCAGCAACUCCGGUUGCUGUUGUGUUGUUUUUCUCUCUUUUUUUUUUCUCUUUUGUUCUUGUUUUGACUGAAAUCGAUGAACUGUAAGAGGAUUGUUUUGUUUGGUGUUUGAUUUUUGACUGGGAAGUGAAGGAGAAGAAGGGUGGAGUGUUCGAUUGAGGGUUGAGUGGGGAAGAAGGUAACCGUGACUGAAGCAACACUUUAGAUGAUUUUUAUUUGAUUGUAAUUGUAUAGAUUUUGGGUUGUAUUUGAUAGUUUAAUUUGUUAAAGGAUGUGUGCAAGCAGUCUUCAGUUUGACAGUCAAAGACUUGCAAGUUACUUGGCUGUCAAAUUCUUUGUAUUUGGUAGUUUAAAAGAAUGAAUUUGGUGGUAUAA